UUAAAACACCAAUUCUUAAAUGAUCACCAAAGUUAAGCAACAUUGAGCCUUAUCAGUACCUAGAUGGGUGACUGUUUGGGAAUACCAGGUGCUGUAAG